rnacentral:tRNA from 1 species
AAGAGGAUGGCUGAGUGGCUUAAGGCGGCGGUUUUGAAAGCCGUAGUGUUUAACACCGUGGGUUCGAAUCCUACUCCUCUCUUA